AGUACUUAUUCAAAUACAGAUUAGUUAUUCCCUAAUUUUUAAAUUUCAGAUAGCCACUGAUAAUAUGUUAAUAUCAAAAACAAGAUGUAGGUGCAUCCAGAUGACAAAUCGCAAACAGGAUAAAAUGCGUAUCGUGGGUUCCGCUGGGGGUAGAUAUCAUAUGUGACAGUUCUGCUCCGAGCUACCGUUGGGGCCGCGCUGUUUGUGAAUACCGCCCAAAGUGAGUAGUAGACUCCAUGGUUAAAUACUUACACGAGUCCGAUGGCGAACAAGUACCGUGAGAGAAAAUUGAAAAGUACAUUAGAGAGAGUGAGAGAGAGUAGACAGUACGUGAAACCGUUCAAAGAUAAACGGGUGGAGUUGAACUAUAAGCUGUGGGAAUUCAGCUGAUGAGUAUGAUUUUUGCUUGGGCAUACUGGCCGCCAUCAGUGUUUGUUUAACUGUAGGUGCAUGCCUUUUGGUGGGUAUAUUUUAAUCGUUUGCAUACGAUGCACUCACUGUUAAUGUGAGGGUCUGCUUGUCAUUGCACUUUAUCAGGGUGUUCACUACAACCGGCACUGCUGCCUGUCUGCUAUGGCCA
rnacentral:ncRNA from 1 species